GUUGGGUGGAAUUUGGUAUCCACCAAUGUUGCAACUUUCAUGUGUGGCUCUUGGAAUUAUAGGUGCUGGAAGAUGCAAUCUUAGUGAUUCUUUUAUAACGGCUUUGAAAUAGAUUUGUCAUGAUCCAAACCGUUGUGGCCGCAGUUGUAUCGGUUGCUCCAACAAGUAUGUCCUAAAUCGAGAAGAUAUUCAAAUUAACAAUAGAGGAAAAAUGGUGAAGAGAAUAAAGAUUCUUUUUGAUAUAUAGGUGGUUAGAUAAUUAUAAUAUGAAAUGUGUUAUUUUGUUUU